AUUUGUUUAUCCGUUAAAAUGCGUAUUCCGUAUUGUAAAUUGUAAUAGAAAAGCAGAGAAGACCGGCGCAAAAUAAGACUCAUGUAAAAUAGGCAGAAAUCUUGAGUAAAACAUUUUUUUUUGCAUAACAAUACGAAUACCGAUCAUAAUAAUAACAAUAAUAAUAAUAAUAAUAAAUCAAAGUCAAAUAGACUCAGAUAGUUGUACAAGGGAAUGGCCGAUAUCAGUGAGAUUAUCGGGACGAUGGCACAUCAAUAAUCAAUAAGUUAUUACAAACAGGCAAACGGAUUCAGGAAAGUAACAUGAUUUCAUUGCCAGCCGAUCCCACGGUCGUCUCGGCCAAUAACUCAGUUGUUGAUCAUGCAGAAAUUGGCUCGGCAUGCUAUGGAUCGAAUUUACGAAAAUUAUUACGUAUGGAAAUUAUGAACAAGGAUGGGCGGCGUUUUUCAUGAAGAAAUUUACGUAGACCUUACGAUUGUGAGGCUAAUUUUCAGUUCUGAUGUUCACAUUUAUCUAUUACAUUUUCGAAAUAUAAUUUUGAUGGAUUUAUUUAUUAUUAUUAACGGAAUUCAUUGCAAGUUCUUGCAAGAACUUGCAGCUGGCCAUCGCCCGAGGACAUUCAGCCAAGUAUUUACAAAUAUUUACAUUUUAUUGUAUAGCAAUUGUUGUAACAAAAAGCAAAACAAAAGGUGAUUGGGUCUUCCGCAGCGAUGAGAGAAAUGAUGUUGACAAUUUUGAGAACAAUGCGUUUUUUUUUUGUUUUUUUUUCUAAGUCCAUUAUUUUUAUUUACUUUAUUUGAAUUUUAUUUUCAUGUUUGAGUGGCGUCCAGAGAAGAGUCAAUGGGAAAUAUUUUUCUACAAAGAAAUGUGGCAGGAGAUUUUGGAGACGAAGAGUAUCAAUUAUCUCACAACCGGUUUUCCCUUUGCAGUUCAUCGAACAUGCCAAAUUCCCUAUGCCAUGUGCAGCUAGGAUUGAUGUCGAGGCUUCUCGUCGUCGACUUGAUAAAAUGAGGAUAAAUCUAUCGAAAAAUAAAUUAAGAAAUUUUCGAAAGUGAUUCACGUGAGAUAAGACGUCCAUCACGUUAUGAGCAGACAAUAACUGAAAGUCAGUGUCGCAGGAAAUCAAGACGGUUAUAAUCUAAUCGGGAUACACGUGAGGCAUUGCAAUCUAGUAUACUCGUCAUUAUUCUAUAUUGCGAAAUAGCAGAAGCAACAAUUUAUAAAACAUGUGAUUUCGUUACGAGUUGGGAAGGACAAGUCGUUCAGUAAUGUUCCCCAACCGUGAAGAAAUAUUACAGAAUAGAAGAAUUUGGUAUGUGUCAUGUAGGAAUUGUGAUGAUGGUAGUGUAAAAAUUUUUCUAUCGAAUGGGUUUUUACAUAAAAAUAUUUCGUAAAAAUGAUUAAAAAAAUUGCAUAUUCCGCACUGAGAGAAUUUUUUUUCACAACAACUGUUAUACGACUUUAAAAAAAUACCAAUGCAUUUGCAAUUCCAUGAUAAUUGCCUGCAUGUAUAUAUUGGUUUUUAUCAGUGCACUAGUUUGUGUCUCUUGCCACGUAUCUCAAUAUAUGUAUAUUUCACCGUCAACAGUUGCACAUGACAUGCAGACUUGUAUUAGGUGCAAGGUGUUGAUUUCACGUGCGGUCAUCCGCGCUGACCGAUAUCCAUACUUCAUCGAAAAUUCAUUACUUCCGGGAAUAAUUUUGCUAUGAACCGUAUAAUCACGGGGUAAAAACAAAAGUUCGAAAAAUAAGAAAAUCAAGUGAAUUAGUGCAAAAUAUUUUUUACCUUCACUUUACUGGAAACUUGAUUAAUCCGAGACUUUAUGCUCUACCGAUCACUUAAAAUGUGCUAAUCACACGACACUGGAUGAGUCGAGGAAAAACUGCAAAAAAAUACCACUGAAUAAAAGAAAUAUUGCUACUGUUGUUAUUAUUUGAGUAAAUAACUUGGUUACGGUGUCGCAGACACUUGCCUGACGAAAGAUAUAGCUGGUGUGACGAGUGAAUGAUCGAGGGGCAUAACUCGAUCGGUUUGACGCGACUGGAGUCUCCUUCCACCAAACUGGCCGUUGUGAAUGCCACUUCAUUCUGAUUUUUCCUUAAUCUCAGUUGAUUGUCUCGUGAAUAUCGGUAGUGAUAUCACAAAUAUCACUUCCGUCAUUGAUUGAUAUGGGAAGCCAUUAUUAAAUCAGUGGACUGUAGACAAAAAAAAGGGAAAAUAUACGGGAUCUUGUCACGACACGGUCAAUGGAUCAAGUUCAGAUGGAAAGAGAGGGGAUAUCCGUUCGGUUAUUAAGCGCGAAGGAAAGUUUCAAACGAACUAAAAAGUUAUUCUGCUCGCAUUAUGACAAAUAGGCGAUUUAGAAUUGACUGUAAUGGAAUUUAAAUAUUCAUUCUUUUAAAUUAUUGGGCCUAAUUCAGUGAUCUGCAAAUUAGUUAUCGUAAAAUUUUUUCUUCUAAUAUCUUGAGAUUCUUUUUAGAUUUUAAUCGUUUUUCUAAUCCCAAAUAGCCGAGUCUCUUAUCGUAUUCUGCUCUAUCUUGGUAUUUAUUAAUUGUCAAUAAUGGUAGAUUCAGAACUAUGGCUUCGUAUUUCAGCUGUUAAUUGCUCAAUAAAAUUAUUGGUCGCGAAGUCAUUAAAAAAAUAUUAGAUAUCAAUUUUGCCGGUGCUUAUCUUCAUCUAUUACUUUACCAAAGCUCUUAGUCAUGAUGACGCAAAAUUGAUUUUGUGGAAUAAGAGAUGUGUCUCAGCAGGAAACACAUCAAUGAAAUGCAUUUCAUAGUUGUCUUGAUUAUGUGAUAGCGAAUUUUAUUCAUCUCCAUUAAGUAUAUCAUUCAGAACACCACUAGCGAAUUUAUUUAUUGUUCAAUGGAUGAAUGUCUGUCAACUGUGUUAGCGAUAGCAUUGUUAAUAAUGAAAACAAAAAAACUUUAUACGAAGCUUGGCAAUCAUUUGACCGUGCUCGAGGAGCUGUAUAAGGUGUGGACAAGGGGGUGAUGUGAGGGUAUACAUAGUUGCAUGGAGAAAAUGAUAUUUGUGCAUCCGGUGGGGCGAAUGGUGCGACGCUCCGGUGCUCACUCUACUCUGAUGUUACUUCAGAGGUCGAUCGAUUCCGAAACGCAGCGAGCGUUCAUCCACGAUGCAAUCGGCCGGCUUUGAGAUAACCACCUAACGUGACUAUCGAUACGUGCUUGGUAUCAAGAACACUGUAUUCGUGAAUUUAAUCUCAGGGUUAUUAACCAUUUUCAUUUUAUUUCAUUGAUGUUAGCGAAUAGAGAAAUUGUGGCUCUAAAUAAUGGCACGAUUUGCCUAAUCCAUGAUAGGGAAUUGGUUUCCCAAGAUUUUUAUGAAAAUGGAUGAACAAAGCACAAAAAUGUCAAAGUAUUUUUUCUGGAAAAGUUGAAUUUUACAGGCAAUUACCAAUUUUUUAUACAUUCAAAAUAGAAAACUAUUGAAUGGUUAAGAAAUUUCAUUGAAAAUUAUGAAAAUCAAUUAUUUUUGCAUGAAUUAUUUCUAUUUUCUAUUGCGACAAUUUUUUUCGAUAUUUCAGAGAGAAACAUUUGAUAAAAAAAGUCUUUCUGUAGUUCCGGAGUAAUUACAGUUUGAAAUGUAAAUUUUGUUUCCAAAUUAUGAUUCUUUACUGUACUGGUGCUAGAAUGUUCCUCCGAAGCUUAUCUCAGUUUAUAUUUUCUUAUAUUCCGGCUCCAUAAUUCCAUGAAAGAUUUUUCACUCCCCGGAAAAUCCGGUUCAAUGUGCCAACAUAUUAUAUUAUCGCGUGACUAGUUGAAUCGAUAUCAAAAUAGUGACUCAAUGGAAAAUAUAAUAGUCAUUUAGUGGGUGAGGGCGUGAGGAUGUUUAUUUGCUCUCUGUCCCACUGCUUUGCUUUAUCAACUUUUUCACUAAAAACUUUUUCAAGCGUGGAUUUUCAUGCUUGAAAAACACUCUAUUUCAUCAUUAUGUUAAUUUUGGAAAUGACGUCUGUUAACUGAACAAAUUCAGUUGUGAAAAUUCGCAGUUAAGUGAUAAUUGUGAUAUUAUUACACAAAAUAUUUAUGGUUUUGAUUAAAAUACUCUAUCACAAUGCGUGCCAGAGAGUCCCUAGGUAUACGUCACUCCAGUAAAUAAAGAAUAUUAGCGCCAAAAAAUACCUGAAUGGUGAAGAGAAAAAUAAUUACUCGUUGCAUGUGAUGAAAGGGAUCAGGUCAGGAAAAUCCAACGCAUUUGAUCACAAUGAAUGUUUGUGUAUAAUAUAUAUAUAUAUACAUAUAUAUAUCAUAUGUAUAUAUAUUCAUAUAUAUAUAUGUAUUCAUAUAUAUACAUAUUUUGUUACAAGGCACAGGUAGCUUACACACGUAUUUUCUUUCAUAUUUGUUCUUCCCAUCACUUUGUUAUUCCUACCCACAUUUAUCGUUUCGUUCACCAUCAUUCUCGCUAGCAACCGCACUUUUACUUUUGAUCAUUCAUCCAAGAGAUUACAAGAUUAUCUUCCUCACUUCACUCCUUUUAAUCUGCCUUACAAUUAUUUCCAGUUUUCGAGUCACUUUACCAACUAUUUUCCUCAUUUACUUUCCUUUAUUGUUUGGAUCAAAAACAUUUUCUUUACUUCUAACAAUCGUCAGUGAUUAUUUUAUUCAACAAGGAAAAAGCCAUAGAAUGAGCAAUCCACUAACUCACCGAUUAAUUCAUUUUCUGCAAUUAUUUGCUUUCUUCAUUUUUCAAAGUGAAAAUAUUUCGGGCAAGUUUUUUACUGUCUCGAUUCUUAACAAAUUAUGACAAUCCUUCUCAUUCGACCCUCUCGGGAGAUAUCUUCAAAGUUCUUCAGUGGAAGUGAAUUGAAAUUUGAAACAUUUCAGUUAGUGAUAAGCAUCUUUAAUUCUCAAAUAAUAUUAUCAUCCUGGCUAUUCAGCGCGAUGAUAUGAAUUUCUUUGUGACGUGUGGCAUUUACUUCAACAGGUGAACUUUCGAGUGUACUUUCAUUUGCUAAAUUGAGUGGAUUAUCUGAGUUUCAUAUUUAAUUUCGGCGAAACUUUUUUUAUUCUCAAAUUUAAUAAUAUAAUAAUGGAUUUUUGUAAGUUACUGGGGAGGAUUUGGAGGGAUAUUUCUCCUUGUAUCUAUCUUUGGGUUGAUAAGUAUUUAUAACUUAAUUUUUUCAUUUGGAUAUCAAUGUUUGGGCUUCUUGUACUCGCUUCUUUAAGGAAUUCGGAAUGUUAAAAAUAAAAGAUGAGAUUACUUAAGACUCUUAUAUGAAGGUCACCCAUCGAAAUAAUUGCACAGAGAAAAAAGUAGAUUAGCUUCAGAACAACAUGUUCCUAAAUAUAAGAAAUUUUGAAUCUUCAGAAACUGAAUCAAUAAUAUGCUCUUUUAUAAAAUUAAUUCACAUAUUUUCUCUCUCCCCCGAAUACUCCGAAAAAUCGUUAAAUCACUAAAAUUCACCGUUGGCUAUUAAUUGGGAAGAUUAACUGUAUUCAGUGAUUGUAUCAAUCUCAUUAAAACGAAUGCAUUAAGCUCACCCAAAUCCCACGGGAGGGUACAGCAAGCGGGAGCGGCUUGUAACGACGUUUGUUGAUGUUUUGGAUACCUAAUUAUCCUUGAUUUGAAUUGGAAAUUCGGAUUUUAGUAUUUCUCGCUGUCAUUUUGUCACAGGGCAAUGAAUCGAGGAUAAUUGAAUUUUUUACUACUAUGAUGCCUCGAUAUGGAGGAGAAGGAUCUGACCUAUUUACAAUUUUUUUAUAAUCCUUGUGACCACAAGUAAUAAUUAUCUGAUUGCUGUCACAAUGAGCUUAUUACGUUUCUGUCGGUUUAGAAAAUUCUUAAUUUUAAAAUCUAUGUUUUCCCUUGUUCUAUACAUAGGUACCUAAUUACAUGACUAAUUACGCAAUUUAUUACAUGUUUAUUCUAUAUUCUGUGUUAAAUCAAGAUUUACGGGGUUGGUUAGAUAAUUGUGCGUUGAAAAAUUCGCUUUUAGGAGUCAGUAAUUAGAAUUGCUAUGAUUAUUUCGACAGAGAUUAGUUGAUCAGUUUCACCACUUUUCUACUGAAAUUAUCACAUUCGGGGAGGCUUAUUAAAUUCGGGGUUCGUGGAAGGAGCAUGUUGGAUUGGUAAAUCGUUAGGAAGUUUUCCCAUUGUAAACACUGAAAGGGUGAAUUCAGAUAUGACAUUGAUUCCGUCGAGUGCAUAUUUUUUUUUGCAUAAAUAUUUUUCGGAGUAAUAUGACGCAUCGGCGCACAAAAAAUGUAUUCGAUAAUUCAGUAUUUGCAAAGGGAAAUUUCUACCAACUAUUUUCACGUCAUGUGGGAGGAUAAUUCAGUGAGUCAUGCAGAUAAAAUGGUAAAAAAUCUUUUCACUCUGUUUGGCAUUAAAAAACUUGAUUUUCUCGACUUUUUUUUACACAACCCUCAGCAGUAUUCACAUCCGUUAAGAUUGAUUUUCUACCAGCUAUUUAUUAUAAAGAUACAAGAUAAUCAUACAAUAUAGACUCUGUAUAAGUUACAAUAAUAUCCUCGGCAAUUCACCUCAAUGCGGCUCCUUUACUUAUUCUUCGCUUUCAUUAUUGCUCUCAGCAAAUUAAUCAAAUCGAUAUUUAAUUAUUUUGUUAGCUUACCGUCAUCACAACUUUCUGAUGAAGGAUUGUUCCUUUCUUUUACAUGUAAAAAACUGUCAUUAUUUGCUCGUCUAUUUUUUUAAAAUCGUUGCAUCAGUAUACAAGAAUGGUUUCACUUUAUGAAAAUCCAUAAAUGUUAAAAAUUGAAAAUAAUAAGAAUAAAAAAUACUAUUUU